UUCCCCCCAAAUAUCAAUCCCAAUUCAGUGAUUCACGCCAAAAGUAAAUUGUGUCCCUCCCUCUCUCUAGAUCUCUUGUUCUAAACCCCAAAUCAUUGUAUCAUCUGUCCCUCUCUCGGUUCAUAUCGCUAUAAUCUUGCAAUUCUAGAAUGAUAUUUUAGAAUCUCUAUUACCAACACAAGGAUCUUCCUAAUUUUUGUACUCCUUAAGCAGGUAUAUUCUUUAUUUCUUAUUUUAUUGUUAAUCUCAGUUAUUUGUUUGCUUUCAUAAAGAGUGAUCUGCGUAAUAGCAUUGGUGGUGUAUUAAUUAGAUUUUUUUUUUUUUACAAUUUUAUUAUCUUUGUUAUUGAAUAUUUAGUACAAUGUUAUGAGUUAUGAUUCUUCUCAUAUUAUUAUUUUAUUUUCUUGGAAAAUAUAUUAUAUAGUUGUAUCCUACUAUGACUAAAAUAAAUAUUUGGAGAAUAAUAUACAUAUUUUGUGCUAUUACAAAUUUACUGGGAAAAAACCCGAAACCCGAGAUUGAAAAACCUGACUUUAUUGGUUUGGUUUGGUUUAUAAAUUUAAAAGCCCGAUACUAUUGAUUUGGUUUGGUAAUUAAAAAAUCUGAACCGACCCGAUCUACAUACACCCCUACUUUGAAGAUGUUUGGUGCACCCAUCCUCUCAAAUUCCUGGAUUCGACUCUGAUCAUAUAGCUAAUCUACCUGUGUAAUUCAUUCCGACAUUUAGUAAAAAUCUGCUCUUAUCAAGAUCAAUAAGUUGGACCUACGUCGUAUGUGUUUUGUGAUUGUUUAAAAUGGCCAUAGACCUGAAUUGUUUGUUAGAAAUCAUGCGUUUAGGAAAUAAUAAAGGUCAUUAGGAAAUAAUAAAGGUCAUUAAGUAAUUGAAAAUGAAAAACGGCUUCUAUAGCAAAGUCAGUUUUAUUUCUUCCUUUUCGGAAGAAAACAAUUAAAAGAAUUGCUUAACCAAAUAAAAAAAAAAGACUAAAUACUGGAGUUCCUUACAUAUCUUUUUUAACAAUCUUUUAUUUCUUGGUCACGUGCACGGCACACCGAAGUAGGCGUCAGCAUUUUUCCUAUCUUAUUUCCUCGUAAUAGUGACGAGUACUAGAAUCCCAAUACAAAAGGCGGUCCAUUUCGUAAGUGUCUGGUUUUUCCCUGCAAAUGGAUUUUCCUAUAAAAUGGAGUAGUAGACAAAAAGAUUCUGUCUUUUCAUCUCCCUCAUUCUGACAAAAGAAAGGGGCCGCUGUAAUCAUAACUUUUCAGUACAGAGUUGCAGAGUUCUUUUGGCUUGUCAUGGAAGCUAUAAACCUCCUCCAGUCAUUUUCAAUCGUACACUGGAUUAAAGCCGCUUCUACAUUCAUGCAAACUUUUUAUUUUAAUUUCCUAGAAUAUUAUAAUUAAAUGAUGCUAGAGCCAAAGAUCCCUGUUAUGUCACUCUAAACCCACAAUUGCUUCAAGUCAUAUUUAUAAAAAAAAAAUCAUCAGAAAAUAAGCACCGGUUGAUAUGCUUCAAACCCCGCUGCAGAUCUGCAUGAAAUCAAAAUUAUAUCCGAUAUCUACGCAAAAUUCACGCCUCGUAUGUAACGACGGUUUAACACGUCAUAUGCAUGUUUAAAGUGGGAUCAUGGUCACUACGCACUUAGCAUGAUCGCAAUCAUAUUUGUUGUAUCUACUGUAUAAGCCGACCUGUAUUCCCACCUCUUAGGAAGGGACGACAACUUACUGUGUGAUCCUUUAAAAUAACGGGCGUAUCCUGCCUUGUUUUCGUACCCAUACGCACUAUGUAAUUUAUGAACAAAUAUGACAUGUUUCCCUUAUUGUUUGCGCAUAUCGGACGAGAUCAGAUUGGGAUUCGGUUUCGAGAUCCCCACAGACAAUAUAGGUUCACCCCACGAGAAACCUAGACACGACUAACGACGAAGCCAAACACGGCUACCAAAUGCGAAACCACCAUUUGAGCACGGGACGAAGCAAGUAGCCCUACAGCGCCCUUCCCCCUUCACCGAUUUACCAGGUCAAGGUAACAUGCAAUUUCGUUUAGGUUUAACUUAUCAUACUUUCUCUCUUUUUGGUUCGGGAUAGGAACACGAGCAUUCUCACAGGUGCACGAACAAGGAACGAACGCCACCGAACACAUCAGGAAAAUGUUCCGUACCAUAUCAUCUGCAAUCAAUGACCGAGAAAAGCCCUUUGUGUCGUACCUAUUACAAAUAACAGAAACGACUUAGAAUGGGCCGACAUUAUUUAGAAAUUAUCUCCGGAAUCUGGGACUAAGCAAUAGGUCCAUGAAACGUACAAUCUCUCCAAUAUCGGCAGAACAUGAGCUCGAAAAACUUGCACGUAUGCUCGCCACGACAAUCCUAUGCCAAAUUAGCCGACUAAAUAUUAUGAGUCACGUGUUUGAAUUGAUGAAAGUCCCAGAGUUCCCAGUAACCCAAGCAAUAAGUUCGUCGUCUAUCUGGCCAACAGCUUCUCCAAGCCUAGCAACGAAAGAACCAGAUAAAUCAGGACUCCGCUGACAUAUACAAAGUAUGCAACGACGCAUGGUACUCUCCAAUGAAAGCAAAAUUGAACAAACCGAGACUCACCCCGACGCACGCAUAAACAAUGCGGCAACGAGUAAUGUUUUCCAAUAAAAGUAAUGCAAUGAACAAAUAUCACUAUCUCUCCAAACCCGCACGUCGCCAGGUGAAGAGAAAGUUCGACGUCGCUCGAAUUUACACCCUUACGGCCAUCGGUCAUCGCCAAGUGAAGAGAAAGUUCGACCUCACUCGAACUCAUAAUGGGUUGCAAUUUCGACCUCGCUCGAAUUUACACCCUUACGGCCAUCGAUCAUCGCCAAGUGAAGAGAAAGUUCGAUCGCGCUCGAACUCACAACGAGUUAUAAUUUCGACCUCGCUCGAGUUUACACCUUUAUGUCCAUCGGACGUCGUCAAGAUAAAAGAAAGUUCUACCUCGCUCGAACUCACAACGGGUUACGAUUUCGACUUCGCUCAAAUUUAUACCCUUACGGCCAUCGGCCAUCGCCAAAUGAGUGAAAUUCAGUCUCGUUCCAAUUUGUAAUGGGUAACAAUUCGACCUCAGGUCGUAAUCCCGACUUCGCUCGAAUUGAUGCUCUUACAUCCCCUGGCCAUCACCAAGCGGAAGUAAUGCACAAUCUUACAAGUCAAAACUGAUUUCGCCCAAGUUGGUAAGUCAAACUUCGACCUUGCUCAAAUUUACAAGUCGAAACUGACAUCACCCGAGUUGGCAAGUCUGACUCCGACCUCACUUAAAUUAAGCCAGGUAAAACCGCAUUCGAAUUCCCAAUCAAGAAUCAGGGACUCAUCGCGUGGAAAUCCGAUCUUUUUCAAAAAAGAAAGAGAAAGAAUGUCAAAAGAUACAUUGCCAAAGGCAAAACGACUAUUUUAUUCAGGAGAUGUGCAUGCGCAACAGUCACGCCUUAGAAAGGGCCAAUAGAGGGCCCCCAAGAAAAAAUGAAAACAAACCACACAAAAAAACCUGAGUACAAGAGGUGCAAAAAUUUCCUCACUAAGCAUCAUUUCCACCGAUGUUCUCUCCAGCAUCAUCGUCAUCAGAAGGAAGCUCACCUUCAAUCUCACCAUCCUCGCCGACAUGUCGCAGGGUCAUAACCACAGGCUAGACGAGCCUCGCGUGCCUUUGCACGAGCAUCAUUAAAACGGCCUCAGUAACGCUCCCCGCCUCCCACAAACCCUUAUAUAUAUCAUGUUGGGCCUCAACAUGGACCCAUAGCUCAUACAGACGGCGAGGAACAGUAGCAGAGGCAGAUUCUUAAGGGGGAGCUUAAGCCAAUAACUGCGUCUUCUCGGCCUUAAGAGUUGCAACUUGGUUUCCCAAGCUCGAAGCGUCCCGAUAAAGUUCACCAAUUUGCUCCUCAAGUCGCGCCUCCCUCAGCAUGGCCGUCGCCCUCUCAUAUUCCUGCUCAGACUUGAGGACGCGGAUAUUGUCUUUGUAAUGACCCGAUCGGACGUUUUGAGUUUUUGCACUUCACUCGCCAAUUUCCGAGCAUGAAUAGCUCCGUGCGAUGUAUUAUGACUUGUGUAAAUCGUCGGUUUUGGUUUUCAGGGUAAUCGGAAUGGAUUUGGAAGAACAGUUCUUAGUUUGAAGCUUACAAUUUGAAAUGUUUGACCAAGUUUUAUCUUUUUAGUAUUCGAUCUCGGAUUUGGGUUUCUAUGAUUUGAUUAACUCGUUAGGUGAUUUUGGACUUGGGAGCGCGUCCGGAAUGUAUUUUGGAGGUCAGUGGUAGAUUUAGGCUUGAAUUGGUGAAAUUGGAAUUUUGGCAUUUUCCGGUUGGUAGCGGAGAUUUUGAUAUAGGGGUCGGAAUGGAAUUACGAAAAUUGGAGUAGGUUAGUUGUGUCAUUUGUGACGUGUGUGCAAAAUUUCAAGUCAUUCGGACGAGGUUUAAUAAACUUUUGAUCGAAAUUGAAAUUCGGAAGUUUUUGGAGUUCUUAGGUUUGAAUCCGUUGAUGAUUUGAUAUUUUGAUGUUGUUCUGAGUGUUCCAAAGAUUGGAACAAGUUUGAAUGAUAUUAUGGGAUAUGUUGGCAUGUUUGGUUGAUGUCCCGAGGGCCUCGGUUGAGUUUCGGAUGCUCAACGAGUCGUUUUUUUACUUAAGGAGUUGCUGGUUUGCUGGUGUUUUGCAACUAGUAUGUUCUUCAUCGCGAUCACGGGAGGAGGUCACGAUAACGUAAGGCAAAUAGGAGGCCAGAUGGGCUAACUCUUCACUUUUGCAGAGAAAGGGACGUGAACGCGUAUGUCAGUUAAGUUGUGCAACGUGAACGCGUGGGUCAGGGCACGUUCGCGUAGAAGAAACAAGGCGGCAGAGGAAUCUGGUGUUACCCUUCGCGUUCGCGUGGGGUCAAUCGCGAUCGCGUAGCUCAGGGGAACUGCUGCAUCGCGUUCGCAUGUGGGUUAACACGAUCGUGCAGAGUAAAUAAUGUCUUUGGUCAUAUAAAUUAUGUCAUAUAGUCGUAUACAGUAAUUUAUUUGUUCCGGUUAUGUAGUUCUUCUUACUUCUUCUAAUAUAUCGCACAUACUUUAUCUUGACUUUAUAUUUUUUAUUUUCUUUAUGUGCAGUAGUUAAUUGUUCUGGCUUAUAUAUAUUUUCUUUUUUAGGUAAAAUUUAUAAAUAAUUAAAUAACGUGAUCGAAACUCCAAAACUUUUGCCAAUUAUUGGAGUUUCAAGUAUGCAUUUGUUUUUUCAGAUACUAUAAAAUGUUUAUUUUAGUUGUCUACUUAUUUCUUUGGGCAAAUUCUUAGAAUAUGGCUUGAGCCCAUUGAUUUUUGCCGAAAAUAUUUUUGUUGUCAAAAUACAACAAAAAUGCAAUGAUGAUUUGUUUAAACUGUGAAUUCAAAUGUUGGAUCACAUACAGAAGCGGAUCUGCAUAACAAAUGGUGGUGCCGGUGACCCCAUGCUAAUCCCACAAAAUUUAAUUUAUUAUAUAGAUAAUUCACUUAAUAUUUAUAAAAGUACUUACUGGCCCCAUAUGGUCAAAAAUGGGUCAAAGGUGCACUAGUUGGGCUUUUUCUUUAUUUCCUCAAUUGGCCCCCAUUCCUCUAUUUUAUUUGUUUUGCACGAUAGCAUCAAUGUAUUAUUUCUUUUUAAUUUUUUAAUGCCAAAUAUCAAUUAUUCCCCCCAAAUAUCAAUCCCAAUUCAGUGAUUCACGCAAAAGUAAAUUGUGUCCCUCUCUCUCUAGAUCUCUUGUUCUAAACCCCAAAUCAUUGUAUCAUCUGUCCCUCUCUCGGUUCAUAUCGCUAUAAUCAUGCAAUUCCAGAAUGGUAUUUUAGAAUCUCUAUUACCAACACAAGGAUCUUUCCAAUUUUUGUACUCCUUAAGCAGGUAUAUUCUUUAUUUCUUAUUUUAUUUUAAUCUCAGUUAUUUGUUUGCUUUCAUAAAGAGUGAUCUAUGUAAUAGCAUUGGUGGUGUAUUAAUUAGAUUUUUUUUUUUACAAUUUUAUUAUCUUUGUUAUUGAAUAUUUAGUACAAUGUUAUGAGUUAUGAUUCAUCUCAUAUUAUUAUUUUAUUUUCUUGGAAAAUAUAUUAUAUAGUUGUAUCCUACUAUGACUAAAAUAAAUAUUUGGAGAAUAAUAUACAUAUUUUGUGCUAUUACAAAUUUACUGGGAAAAAACCCGAAACCCGAGAUUGAAAAACCUGACUUUAUUGGUUUGGUUUGGUUUAUAAAUUUAAAAGCCCGAUACUAUUGAUUUGGUUUGGUAAUUAAAAAAUCUGAACCGACCCGACCUACAUACACCCCUACUUUGAAGAUGUUUGGUGCACCCAUCCUCUCAAAUUCCUGGAUUCGCCUCUGAUCACAUAGCUAGUCUACCUGUGUAAUUCAUUCCGACAUUUAGUAAAAAUCUGCUCUUAUCAAGAUCAAUAAGUUGGACCUACGUCGUAUGUGUUUUGUGAUGCGUUUAGGAAAUAAUAAAGGUCAUUAGGAAAUAAUAAAGGUCAUUAAGUAAUUGAAAAUGAAAAACGGCUUCUAUAGCAAAGUCAGUUUUAUUUCCUCCUUUUCGGAAGAAAACAAUUAAAAGAAUUGCUUAACCAAAUUAAAAAAAAAAAGACUAAAUACUGGAGUUCCUUACAUAUCUUUUUUAACAAUCUUUUAUUUCUUGGUCACGUGCACGGCACACCGAAGUAGGCGUCAGCAUUUUUCCUAUCUUAUUUCCUCGUAAUAGUGACGAGUACUAGAAUCCCAAUACAAAAGGCGGUCCAUUUCGUAAGUGCCUGGUUUUUCCCUGCAAAUGGAUUUUCCUAUAAAAUGGAGUAGUGGACAAAAAGAUUAUGUCUUUUGGGAAGAAACUAUUUUUUCUUCUUCUCCGAAAGUGCUUCUAUUUCUAUUCAAAAGUAUUUUUUUUUUUUAAAAGUUUGGUCAAACAUAUUAACUUUGAAAAAAAAAUGGACUUAAUCUUGGAGAUGCUUAGCCAAACAGGCUAUUAGUUCUAUCUCUCAAAUUUGAAAGUAAUUUUGUAUCUAAUUGUGAAGGAAUAAUAUUUUAAAUUACAGUAUUGAUUAAUUGUUUUACUUUUAGAGAGGAAAAUGUGUAGUUUGAUACUAAUAGUUUUUAAAAAAUUAUAAUUUUUUAAUUAUUUGAAUGUUAAGUAGGAUUGAUUUGUAUCUCACAUUAACUUUAAGACUAUUGCAUUAUUAAUAUAUGUAAAAAGGCUAGAAACUUUAUUUUCUAUAAGUUUCUUUAAUCCUUUUCAAUUUUAUUAAUUUUAAUGUACUUUAUAUAUUUUUUGUGUUAUUAUGCUAUUUUAUUAAUUUAUAAAUUAGAAAAUUUAAAGAUUCAUGGGGCAUGUACCUCGGGCUUUCGCCUCGCUCCAUAUUAAGUAAAACGCUCCGCCUCACGCCCCUGCCCUUUAAAACACUGUUUAGAAUAUGAAACUAUACUGGAAACCAGUCAAUUCUUCUUCCAUUCUUUUUUCUUCCUUUCUUUAGGGUAACAAAAUACAAUCGGAAAAAAAAAAGAGAAAAGAGAAAAAUGUAUAUAUCUUCUGCAAGUCAAAACUACUGAAAAUGAAGAAAUAAGAGAAGUUGAAAAGGUAUUUAUCAAAACAUGCAUACCUUGAGAAUUUGAAGAAGUUUCUCUUCGUCUUUUAGUUCCAUGUUGAUUUUGUUCGAGUAAUUUUCUUCUUCUUUUUGUAGUCUCCCUUUCUUCUUGAGUGGCUUCUAAUCCUACAUGCUCAUCUUCCAUAUCUUUAAUCAGUUUUUUGAAAUACCCAAGAAUUUCAGAGGAGAGUAUUUAGUGGAGGCCUUUCAGAUACUUGGCUCUUUUAGGCUUUGCAAAACUUAGUUUAUAAGUAUUUCUUUAAUGAUCGAUCGAAAUACAUAUCAGCAGGAACAAGAAAAUGGUGGAAGUAAAAGUGUCAAAUACGUGCAUUAUUUGGAUUCUUUUCCGUGAUCGAGCUGAAACUUUUUAGAACAUCUGUUUUCAUAGUAUUAUUUUGGACGACUAAUCUUCCCACUUUUAGUUUGUUGUAUUAAAGUUAUAAAUAUAAAUUCAAUAUUUGAAUCCAACUAUAAUCACGUAUAAUAUAAAUGUCACAUAUAAUUACAUUAGUAGACUCUCUUCCCACUGCUCACCUUAUUUAAUAUCUAUCAUAAAAUUUAAUUUUGACCAACAAAAAAAUAAAAUAAAAAAUGCAUGAUAUGUGAUGUUUGGCCAUAAUUCUAUAUUUUUAGUACAUUACUCGCCUUACAUUCUGUUAGUUUAGUGGUUAAUUAUGCAACGUUUGGGCUAAUUAUGUUGUUUUAUGUGUAGGAUCAUCGGAAGACAAAGACGAGUGAAGGUUGCACGAAAAGAGGACGAAAAUACAAGAAAAGAGCACAAAUGCACGACGUACCCAAGCCUGGCACUAGGCCAGGCAUUGCCAGCUUCAAGGCGCACUCCAUCGCGCGAUAAGCCUCGCCUCGUGAGAUUCAGGCGCACUACAAGCCUGGCCCCGCAAGGUCAGGCGCCCGAUGGCCAUCUGUUCACAAAUUAAAAGUACUCCGACCCGGAUUUGGACUCAAGGACCUCGACCCUAACAUAUAAAUAUUCAAUAAGCGAGUUGAGAAAGGGUUGGACAUUAUUUGGAGGCAAAAAGACAUUGUAAAUCAAUUUCGGAGGAGAUAAUCAUAGAGUUCUUCAUCCU
rnacentral:lncRNA from 1 species